GGUUAAGCGACUAAGCGUACACGGUGGAUGCCCUGGCAGUCAGAGGCGAUGAAGGACGUGCUAAUCUGCGAUAAGCGUCGGUAAGGUGAUAUGAACCGUUAUAACCGGCGAUUUCCGAAUGGGGAAACCCAGUGUGAUUCGUCACACUAUCAUUAACUGAAUCCAUAGGUUAAUGAGGCGAACCGGGGGAACUGAAACAUCUAAGUACCCCGAGGAAAAGAAAUCAACCGAGAUUCCCCCAGUAGCGGCGAGCGAACGGGGAGCAGCCCAGAGCCUGAAUCAGUGUGUGUGUUAGUGGAAGCGUCUGGAAAGGCGUGCGAUACAGGGUGACAGCCCCGUACACAAAAAUGCACAUACUGUGAGCUCGAUGAGUAGGGCGGGACACGUGGUAUCCUGUCUGAAUAUGGGGGGACCAUCCUCCAAGGCUAAAUACUCCUGACUGACCGAUAGUGAACCAGUACCGUGAGGGAAAGGCGAAAAGAACCCCGGCGAGGGGAGUGAAAAAGAACCUGAAACCGUGUACGUACAAGCAGUGGGAGCACGCUUAGGCGUGUGACUGCGUACCUUUUGUAUAAUGGGUCAGCGACUUAUAUUCUGUAGCAAGGUUAACCGAAUAGGGGAGCCGAAGGGAAACCGAGUCUUAACUGGGCGUUAAGUUGCAGGGUAUAGACCCGAAACCCGGUGAUCUAGCCAUGGGCAGGUUGAAGGUUGGGUAACACUAACUGGAGGACCGAACCGACUAAUGUUGAAAAAUUAGCGGAUGACUUGUGGCUGGGGGUGAAAGGCCAAUCAAACCGGGAGAUAGCUGGUUCUCCCCGAAAGCUAUUUAGGUAGCGCCUCGUGAAUUCAUCUCCGGGGGUAGAGCACUGUUUCGGCAAGGGGGUCAUCCCGACUUACCAACCCGAUGCAAACUGCGAAUACCGGAGAAUGUUAUCACGGGAGACACACGGCGGGUGCUAACGUCCGUCGUGAAGAGGGAAACAACCCAGACCGCCAGCUAAGGUCCCAAAGUCAUGGUUAAGUGGGAAACGAUGUGGGAAGGCCCAGACAGCCAGGAUGUUGGCUUAGAAGCAGCCAUCAUUUAAAGAAAGCGUAAUAGCUCACUGGUCGAGUCGGCCUGCGCGGAAGAUGUAACGGGGCUAAACCAUGCACCGAAGCUGCGGCAGCGACGCUUAUGCGUUGUUGGGUAGGGGAGCGUUCUGUAAGCCUGUGAAGGUGUGCUGUGAGGUAUGCUGGAGGUAUCAGAAGUGCGAAUGCUGACAUAAGUAACGAUAAAGCGGGUGAAAAGCCCGCUCGCCGGAAGACCAAGGGUUCCUGUCCAACGUUAAUCGGGGCAGGGUGAGUCGACCCCUAAGGCGAGGCCGAAAGGCGUAGUCGAUGGGAAACAGGUUAAUAUUCCUGUACUUGGUGUUACUGCGAAGGGGGGACGGAGAAGGCUAUGUUGGCCGGGCGACGGUUGUCCCGGUUUAAGCGUGUAGGCUGGUUUUCCAGGCAAAUCCGGAAAAUCAAGGCCGAGGCGUGAUGACGAGGCACUACGGUGCUGAAGCAACAAAUGCCCUGCUUCCAGGAAAAGCCUCUAAGCAUCAGGUAACAUCAAAUCGUACCCCAAACCGACACAGGUGGUCAGGUAGAGAAUACCAAGGCGCUUGAGAGAACUCGGGUGAAGGAACUAGGCAAAAUGGUGCCGUAACUUCGGGAGAAGGCACGCUGAUACGUAGGUGAAGCGACUUGCUCGUGGAGCUGAAAUCAGUCGAAGAUACCAGCUGGCUGCAACUGUUUAUUAAAAACACAGCACUGUGCAAACACGAAAGUGGACGUAUACGGUGUGACGCCUGCCCGGUGCCGGAAGGUUAAUUGAUGGGGUUAGCGCAAGCGAAGCUCUUGAUCGAAGCCCCGGUAAACGGCGGCCGUAACUAUAACGGUCCUAAGGUAGCGAAAUUCCUUGUCGGGUAAGUUCCGACCUGCACGAAUGGCGUAAUGAUGGCCAGGCUGUCUCCACCCGAGACUCAGUGAAAUUGAACUCGCUGUGAAGAUGCAGUGUACCCGCGGCAAGACGGAAAGACCCCGUGAACCUUUACUAUAGCUUGACACUGAACAUUGAGCCUUGAUGUGUAGGAUAGGUGGGAGGCUUUGAAGUGUGGACGCCAGUCUGCAUGGAGCCGACCUUGAAAUACCACCCUUUAAUGUUUGAUGUUCUAACGUGGACCCGUGAUCCGGGUUGCGGACAGUGUCUGGUGGGUAGUUUGACUGGGGCGGUCUCCUCCUAAAGAGUAACGGAGGAGCACGAAGGUUGGCUAAUCCUGGUCGGACAUCAGGAGGUUAGUGCAAUGGCAUAAGCCAGCUUGACUGCGAGCGUGACGGCGCGAGCAGGUGCGAAAGCAGGUCAUAGUGAUCCGGUGGUUCUGAAUGGAAGGGCCAUCGCUCAACGGAUAAAAGGUACUCCGGGGAUAACAGGCUGAUACCGCCCAAGAGUUCAUAUCGACGGCGGUGUUUGGCACCUCGAUGUCGGCUCAUCACAUCCUGGGGCUGAAGUAGGUCCCAAGGGUAUGGCUGUUCGCCAUUUAAAGUGGUACGCGAGCUGGGUUUAGAACGUCGUGAGACAGUUCGGUCCCUAUCUGCCGUGGGCGCUGGAGAACUGAGGGGGGCUGCUCCUAGUACGAGAGGACCGGAGUGGACGCAUCACUGGUGUUCGGGUUGUCAUGCCAAUGGCACUGCCCGGUAGCUAAAUGCGGAAGAGAUA
rnacentral:rRNA from 1 species